rnacentral:rRNA from 1 species
GAUUAAGUUAUUAAGGGCGCACGGUGGAUGCCUUGGCACUAGAAGCCGAUGAAGGACGUUACUAACGACGAUAUGCUUUGGGGAGCUGUAAGUAAGCUUUGAUCCAGAGAUUUCCGAAUGGGGAAACCCAGCAUGAGUUAUGUCAUGUUAUCGAUAUGUGAAUACAUAGCAUAUCAGAAGGCACACCCGGAGAACUGAAACAUCUUAGUACCCGGAGGAAGAAAAAGAAAAUUCGAUUCCCUUAGUAGCGGCGAGCGAAACGGGAAGAGCCCAAACCAACAAGCUUGCUUGUUGGGGUUGUAGGACACUCUAUACGGAGUUACAAAGGACGACAUUAGACGAAUCAUCUGGAAAGAUGAAUCAAAGAAGGUAAUAAUCCUGUAGUCGAAAAUGUUGUCUCUCUUGAGUGGAUCCUGAGUACGACGGAACACGUGAAAUUCCGUCGGAAUCUGGGAGGACCAUCUCCUAAGGCUAAAUACUCUCUAGUGACCGAUAGUGAACCAGUACCGUGAGGGAAAGGUGAAAAGCACCCCGGAAGGGGAGUGAAAUAGAACCUGAAACCGUGUGCUUACAAGUAGUCAGAGCCCGUUAAUGGGUGAUGGCGUGCCUUUUGUAGAAUGAACCGGCGAGUUACGAUUUGAUGCAAGGUUAAGCAGUAAAUGUGGAGCCGUAGCGAAAGCGAGUCUGAAUAGGGCGUUUAGUAUUUGGUCGUAGACCCGAAACCAGGUGAUCUACCCUUGGUCAGGUUGAAGUUCAGGUAACACUGAAUGGAGGACCGAACCGACUUACGUUGAAAAGUGAGCGGAUGAACUGAGGGUAGCGGAGAAAUUCCAAUCGAACCUGGAGAUAGCUGGUUCUCUCCGAAAUAGCUUUAGGGCUAGCCUCAAGUGAUGAUUAUUGGAGGUAGAGCACUGUUUGGACGAGGGGCCCCUCUCGGGUUACCGAAUUCAGACAAACUCCGAAUGCCAAUUAAUUUAACUUGGGAGUCAGAACAUGGGUGAUAAGGUCCGUGUUCGAAAGGGAAACAGCCCAGACCACCAGCUAAGGUCCCAAAAUAUAUGUUAAGUGGAAAAGGAUGUGGCGUUGCCCAGACAACUAGGAUGUUGGCUUAGAAGCAGCCAUCAUUUAAAGAGUGCGUAAUAGCUCACUAGUCGAGUGACACUGCGCCGAAAAUGUACCGGGGCUAAACAUAUUACCGAAGCUGUGGAUUGUCCUUUGGACAAUGGUAGGAGAGCGUUCUAAGGGCGUUGAAGCAUGAUCGUAAGGACAUGUGGAGCGCUUAGAAGUGAGAAUGCCGGUGUGAGUAGCGAAAGACGGGUGAGAAUCCCGUCCACCGAUUGACUAAGGUUUCCAGAGGAAGGCUCGUCCGCUCUGGGUUAGUCGGGUCCUAAGCUGAGGCCGACAGGCGUAGGCGAUGGAUAACAGGUUGAUAUUCCUGUACCACCUAUAAUCGUUUUAAUCGAUGGGGGGACGCAGUAGGAUAGGCGAAGCGUGCGAUUGGAUUGCACGUCUAAGCAGUAAGGCUGAGUAUUAGGCAAAUCCGGUACUCGUUAAGGCUGAGCUGUGAUGGGGAGAAGACAUUGAGUCUUCGAGUCGUUGAUUUCACACUGCCGAGAAAAGCCUCUAGAUAGAAAAUAGGUGCCCGUACCGCAAACCGACACAGGUAGUCAAGAUGAGAAUUCUAAGGUGAGCGAGCGAACUCUCGUUAAGGAACUCGGCAAAAUGACCCCGUAACUUCGGGAGAAGGGGUGCUCUUUAGGGUUAACGCCCAGAAGAGCCGCAGUGAAUAGGCCCAAGCGACUGUUUAUCAAAAACACAGGUCUCUGCUAAACCGUAAGGUGAUGUAUAGGGGCUGACGCCUGCCCGGUGCUGGAAGGUUAAGAGGAGUGGUUAGCUUCUGCGAAGCUACGAAUCGAAGCCCCAGUAAACGGCGGCCGUAACUAUAACGGUCCUAAGGUAGCGAAAUUCCUUGUCGGGUAAGUUCCGACCCGCACGAAAGGCGUAACGAUUUGGGCACUGUCUCAACGAGAGACUCGGUGAAAUCAUAGUACCUGUGAAGAUGCAGGUUACCCGCGACAGGACGGAAAGACCCCGUGGAGCUUUACUGUAGCCUGAUAUUGAAAUUCGGCACAGCUUGUACAGGAUAGGUAGGAGCCUUUGAAACGUGAGCGCUAGCUUACGUGGAGGCGCUGGUGGGAUACUACCCUAGCUGUGUUGGCUUUCUAACCCGCACCACUUAUCGUGGUGGGAGACAGUGUCAGGCGGGCAGUUUGACUGGGGCGGUCGCCUCCUAAAAGGUAACGGAGGCGCUCAAAGGUUCCCUCAGAAUGGUUGGAAAUCAUUCAUAGAGUGUAAAGGCAUAAGGGAGCUUGACUGCGAGACCUACAAGUCGAGCAGGGUCGAAAGACGGACUUAGUGAUCCGGUGGUUCCGCAUGGAAGGGCCAUCGCUCAACGGAUAAAAGCUACCCCGGGGAUAACAGGCUUAUCUCCCCCAAGAGUUCACAUCGACGGGGAGGUUUGGCACCUCGAUGUCGGCUCAUCGCAUCCUGGGGCUGUAGUCGGUCCCAAGGGUUGGGCUGUUCGCCCAUUAAAGCGGUACGCGAGCUGGGUUCAGAACGUCGUGAGACAGUUCGGUCCCUAUCCGUCGUGGGCGUAGGAAAUUUGAGAGGAGCUGUCCUUAGUACGAGAGGACCGGGAUGGACAUACCUCUGGUGUACCAGUUGUCGUGCCAACGGCAUAGCUGGGUAGCUAUGUGUGGACGGGAUAAGUGCUGAAAGCAUCUAAGCAUGAAGCCCCCCCUCAAGAUGAGAUUUCCCAACUUCGGUUAUAAGAUCCCUCAAAGAUGAUGAGGUUAAUAGGUUCGAGGUGGAAGCAUGGUGACAUGUGGAGCUGACGAAUACUAAUCGAUCGAAGACUUAAUCAA